UACAGAGGGUGCGAGCGUUAAUCGGAGUUACUGGGCGUAAAGGGCGCGUAGGCGGUUAUUUAAGUUUGAUGUGAAAUCCCUGGGCUUAACCUAGGAACUGCAUUGAAUACUGGAUGACUGGAGUACUGUAGAGGGUAGUGGAAUUUCCGGUGUAGCGGUGAAAUGCGUAGAGAUCGGAAGGAACACCAGUGGCGAAGGCGGCUACCUGGACAGAUACUGACGCUGAGGCGCGAGAGCGUGGGGAGCAAACAGG
rnacentral:misc_RNA from 1 species